AGAGUUUGAUCCUGGCUCAGGACGAACGCUGGCGGCGUGCCUAAUACAUGCAAGUAGAACGCUGAAGAGAGGAGCUUGCUCUUCUUGGAUGAGUUGCGAACGGGUGAGUAACGCGUAGGUAACCUGCCUUGUAGCGGGGGAUAACUAUUGGAAACGAUAGCUAAUACCGCAUAACAAUGGAUGACACAUGUCAUUUAUUUGAAAGGGGCAAUUGCUCCACUACAAGAUGGACCUGCGUUGUAUUAGCUAGUAGGUGAGGUAACGGCUCACCUAGGCGACGAUACAUAGCCGACCUGAGAGGGUGAUCGGCCACACUGGGACUGAGACACGGCCCAGACUCCUACGGGAGGCAGCAGUAGGGAAUCUUCGGCAAUGGGGGCAACCCUGACCGAGCAACGCCGCGUGAGUGAAGAAGGUUUUCGGAUCGUAAAGCUCUGUUGUAAGUCAAGAACGAGUGUGAGAGUGGAAAGUUCACACUGUGACGGUAGCUUACCAGAAAGGGACGGCUAACUACGUGCCAGCAGCCGCGGUAAUACGUAGGUCCCGAGCGUUGUCCGGAUUUAUUGGGCGUAAAGCGAGCGCAGGCGGUUUGAUAAGUCUGAAGUUAAAGGCUGUGGCUCAACCAUAGUUCGCUUUGGAAACUGUCAAACUUGAGUGCAGAAGGGGAGAGUGGAAUUCCAUGUGUAGCGGUGAAAUGCGUAGAUAUAUGGAGGAACACCGGUGGCGAAAGCGGCUCUCUGGUCUGUAACUGACGCUGAGGCUCGAAAGCGUGGGGAGCAAACAGGAUUAGAUACCCUGGUAGUCCACGCC
rnacentral:rRNA from 1 species